rnacentral:lncRNA from 1 species
GAAAACGGUGUCCACUAAGCCCAAACCAAAACAACAAAAAUACGAAAAGCUAGCUAAACCCCAUUUUCGAUAUCCCCAAUGCCCAGCGUAAUCAUGUCGAGUCUCCUUCCUUCUCUCUUUUAGGCAAACAAGAAAACUCUUAGAAUCCCAAGACUCCUCACCGUAACAUUUCAUCUUCUAGUAAAAAUUCUCGAACCUUCACCCCAUUCUAUGAUAGAUCUUGUCUUCCAUCAUCUUCUGCCACCGCCGCUACUGUCGACUCUGGUACUCGUCCUUCCAAGUAGGUCGUCUCCUUUCGAUUCAAACCUUCCCUAGCCACCACAUAUGCAACUUCAUUUCCCUUUCUUGAUAUUUUCUUGAAAAAAUAACAUCUAUUAAACAUUUUGCUUAGAGCUUUAAUAACUAUAAUAUACUAGUGUAAUAUCUCGAUUUUCAGUGGUGAUAGAAUAAUGGUAUCGGAACUACAAAUUUUUGUUGUAUCGACUCGUAAAUAUAAUUUUUAAAAUAUUUAUAGAAUUAUUAUAGUUGUAUUAAAAUUUGGUUAAAAAAUAUUAACAUUUAGAUAGUUAAUUAAAAAAAAGGACUAAAUUAAAAAAGAUGUAAAAUUUAGAAAAUCUUGAAUUCCAUAUAUUUAAUAGCUUAAUUAUGAAAUAAAAAGGGGUUAAUUAGUAAUUAAUCCAUUAUAAAAUUGAUGGACAAUCAUGAGUCUUUAAAUGGUUAAUUUAUAAAGAUAUUUUAAGAAUAAACAUGUAAAUUAAUAAUUAAAUUAAAGUUUAAUAAAACAAAACUAAAAGUCAUCAUCAUCUUUCCAUGUUUCACGAAAACAAAAGAAAAUUUCUCCAUUUUUGAAGCUUCACCUUCGGCUAACUCAAAGGCUUUGCAUGUAAGUCUAUUUUAAUUCGGUUUCUUGUCAUUUUUAUGUUUUAGAGAUCGUCACAACUAGAUCUAGCUAGCUCGUACCUUCGUUUUUUAUUUCGUUAAAAAUUUUGGAAGUUUCCAUUGAUGAAUAUUGUUUUUUUUAUGAAUAUCAUGUAUUUGGAGCUUUUAUUGUGCUAUUUGAUGAAUUUGUAAAGCAAUUUUUGUUAGAUUUUGAUAAGAUUAAAUUGUGAAAAUGUCAAAAUUUUAGGGUUUAAUAGUGAAUUUGAUGAUUAUUAAGGAAUGUUUAAGGGCCUAGUAUAUUUGGGUAAAAUAUUUACUUGAGAAAAAUAGUUAAUUUGAUGAAUUUCGGGUUAAGGGACUAAAUUGUAAAAAUUAUAAAAGUUUGGGGUAAUUGUGUAAAUUUAAAAAAGAAAAAGGUAUUAAUUGUAAAAUAGAUUGGAAUGUGAAGUGUGAGCUAAUAAUUGAGGAAUUCUAUAUUUUAGAUCAAGAUCCCGUACAUAUUCGUGAAAAAGGAAAAAUAAGAAUAGUAUCUGAACUUCAGCAACUACUACAAUUUAGUCCAGGUAAGUUCGUACGGUUUAAAUUUAAUAUUUAUUUAAUUUGGUAAAUAGUAUAACAAGAUAUAAUAUAUAUAAAUUCCAUUUUUGAAAAUGAAUCGUUAUUUGAGAUACUUAACUGAAUUUAAUAGCUCGAAUUGGAUGCGGGAUAGAGUACAGUUGUGACAUGGUAUGUUGUAGUUGGAUUAAAGUGGAGAUGAUUUGGAGGGUUCUUUAUGUUAUUUCCCAAGUAAACUGAGGUUCAGUAUUUGUUGCGAAUUCUUGAGUUAUACUCUUUGUUCGCGUUUUUCGGGUGGAUUAGCUCUUAUGAGCACUGGCGUGUUUCGAGGGAUUAGUUUUUAUGAGCAAUGGAGUGUUUCAGGGGAUUAGUUCUUAUGAGCAUUGGUAUGUUUCGGGUGGAUUAGCUCUUAUGAACACUGGUGUGUUUUAGGUAGAUUAGUUCCUAUGAGCAUCAGCGUGCUAUGGUUGGACUGACGAUGUACUUUUAUCCGUAAGACGUUCGUUGGAUUGGAAUUUUUGGUAAGUAACUUGUUGAGUAAUUUUAAUGAAAUCUCUAUAUUCAUUUAAGCAUUGAAUUGAUCGUUUAUAAUUUAUUAAUUGGGAUUAUGGAUGACAGGAUACUUUCUUGGUUAUUAUUACUUAUUGAAAUAUUACACUUAUUUCGGUAAGAUUAUUCGUUUAAUACGUCAAACUUACUAAGCUUCAUUAAGCUUACUUGGUUGUUUAAUGUCAUUGUAGAUUCUCGGAAGGUUGGACGAUCAGGUUGAAACUCAAGUCAAGCUAUCCAGCUCAUCUCAGUAGUUUUUGAAACGUUUAAUUCAAAUUAUAUGGCAUGUCUAGGCUCUUGUGUGGCUACUGUUAAUGUUUUUAGUUUAUGUAAAUUUGAUGGAUGAUCUUUUGUGCAAAUAACCAGCUUAUAUAUUACAUGAGAAUGAGGUAUAGUUUUUAUGCUAGUAUGAAUGGUAUAUAUUAAGGAAAUGUUGUGAGUGUGGUAUAUUUGAUAGGCAUUUUGGUUAGGUAAUGAUUGAAUAAAUUGAUGAUUUGAAUUGGUGUUUAUUUUGAUGCAUUAUCAUAUAUAUACUUGUGGUGCCGAUGAUUGUACAUUGGUUAAACACUUAUUAGGUUGGUUUUGGUGUGUUUUUGGCUCGAUUAAUGUCAUUUUGAAUUGGUAUUUUUGUUGGUAUUUGAGUUUCUUGAGGUUCAAGCAAACUUGAAAUGAUAAACUUGUGUUUAAAGGUUUAUUUAAGGUCC